UACGAAGGGGGCUAGCGUUGCUCGGAAUUACUGGGCGUAAAGCGCACGUAGGCGGCUCUUUAAGUCGGGGGUGAAAUCCUGGAGCUCAACUCCAGAACUGCCUUCGAUACUGUAGAGCUCGAGUCCGGGAGAGGUGAGUGGAACUGCGAGUGUAGAGGUGAAAUUCGUAGAUAUUCGCAAGAACACCAGUGGCGAAGGCGGCUUACUGGUCCGGUUCUGACGCUGAGGCGCGAAAGCGUGGGGAGCAAACAGG
rnacentral:rRNA from 1 species